CGCCAGCAGCACUACUACAAUUCUUCCUCCUCCUCCUCCUCCUCAUCUCAAAAUAUACACACACAAGGUUUCGUGCCAUUUGUCGCCGCCACCGCCAGUAGUAGUACCAGCAACCACGACGACGACGAUCUAAAGUUGGUUUCGUGCCCUUUUGUCGCCGCCACCGCCAGUAGUUGUACCAGCAGCAGCGACGACCAAUACUUUUGUUCUUAGUUUCGUGCCAUUUGUCCCCACAACUGCCAGUAGUAGUACCAGCAACCACGACGACGACGAUCUACAGUUGGUUUCGUGCCUUUUUGUCGCCGCCACCGCCAGUGUAGUAGCAGCAGCGACGAAGACGACCAAUACUUUUGUUCUUGGUAGCUCUCCCACGGGUCCUGCCAUUUAACGGGUCCGUCCCCUCCCCCACGGGUCCUGCCAUUUAACGGGACCGUCCCCUCUCCCACGGGUAUUACCAUUUAACGGGAUCGUCCCCUCUCCCACGGGUCGGGCGUGGACCUGACCGUCCCCUCUCCCACGGGUCGGGCGUGGACCUGACCGUCCCCUCUCCCACGGGUCGGGCGUGGACCUGACCGUCCCCUCUCCCACGGGUAUUGCCAUUUAACGUGACCAUCCCCUCUCCCACGGGUAUUACCAUUUAACGGGAUCGUCCCCUCUCCCACGGGUCGGGCGUGGACCUGACCGUCCCCUCUCCCACGGGUCGGGCGUGGACCUGACCGUCCCCUCUCCCACGGGUCGGGCGUGGACCUGACCGUCCCCUCUCCCACGGGUCGGGCGUGGACCUGACCGUCCCCUCUCCCACGGGUAUUACCAUUUAACGGGAUCGUCCCCUCUCCCACGGGUCGGGCGUGGACCUGACCGUCCCCUCUCCCACGGGUAUUACCAUUUAACGGGAUCGUCCCCUCUCCCACGGGUCGGGCGUGGACCUGACCGUCCCCUCUCCCACGGGUAUUGCCAUUUAACGUGACCAUCCCCUCUCCCACGGGUCGGGCGUGGACCUGACCGUCCCCUCUCCCACGGGUAUUACCAUUUAACGGGAUCGUCCCCUCUCCCACGGGUCGGGCGUGGACCUGACCGUCCCCUCUCCCACGGGUAUUACCAUUUAACGGGACCGUCCCCUCCCCCACGGGUCCUGCCAUUUAACGGGACCGUCCCCUCUCCCACGGGUCCCGCAAUUAAAUAAUCUAGAGCCCGUUAUAACGGGCUAAAAUCCUAGUUUUCUACUAAAAAUCACACUAAACUCACACGAGCUUCCCUCCUUGAACGAACCUGGUUAAUUAUUAAUUGAUUAAUUAACCCAAUUAAUUAAGUUAAACACCUCUGAUCUUAACUAAAGCUGAGGCAAAUUUCAAGAUGAUCAAAUUUCCGCAAAUUUUUAAAGAUUACCGAGGAAGGUCAAGUUACGUAUCUUUCAUAACUGUAUUUUUCCCCACAUAUUUUUCAUAUCAAAUUGCAGAUCUCAAGUAAAAUUGGAAACAUUGGUGUUUAUUAACUGGAUUGCAAACAUUGAGUUAAUUGGUUCUCCUUCGUUAUUAGUCUUUGUUCCAUUUAAAUGUUUAAGAAGAAAUCACUUCGGGUUAAAAAACCAGGUCCAUCUGGGAUUCUCAUAACUAGGAAAUGGUUCUUUAAAUUAAUUUUUGACGUUAAAAUUUACAAAAUAACCCAAAUUUUUGAAAUCUCUUAUAAAAAAAGUUAGAUUUAGAUUAGACCUUAGCAAAAUACUUUUUCAAUUAUGAGGCACAAAUUUAUAUCGUGCUUUAUUAAUUAGUUUACAUAUUAAUCAAGAUUUUAUUUUAGCCUGUUUUUGCACAAUUUUUUCACACAAUCUUUGCUGAAAUUAGAGCGACAUGUUUUAUUUUCAGAACUUGCAAAACUUGAAGUUUUAAUACAUGUCAACAUACUUCAGUACGGUCACCAAUUAGUUUUUUUGAACUUGGAUAGUUCACAAACUUGUUGACAAUAUUUUAGGAUGUAGAAAAUAACUCAUCCUUGAAAACCGUGUCUAUUUUUUGUCGCAAGUCUUACAACACACAAAUGUAUUCUUGGAACGCCCAAAUAUAGUUUGGUUUUUUUUAAUAACGAAAAUAAUUCAGAUAACUUUUUAAGAUUAUAGUGAUGGCUAUGAUAGUAAAUUAUAUCUUGAUUGAACGUAAAAAACUUUCCAGGAACUUAAGGAAACUCUUUAAAUCUAAGCAAAGGCGAGAACUACAAGAACUAGGUUAGCUUAAACUUAGAAAUGGCACUUGAGACAUUUUCGUAGAAGAUGGAUGAAGAGUAUGCACAGAAAAGGUGUCAACUAAAUCGUACCUUUGUCGCCCAAUAUGUAAAGAAAUUACCGUAAUCAGGGAAAGAUUACAAUGCAUUUGCACCCAGAUUUUUCGUCGUAAACUUCAAAUAAUAAAUAAUUCAAAACUUAACCUGGAAAAUUCACGAAUAUUGGUUAGGAAAACUCACGACUUUUAAAAUAAAAUUGUCCGAAAAAGUAAAUUUAACAAAAUUUGUAAUCAGAUAUUUUAAUGUUUGCAAACUAAUUUUGCAAAUAUUUUUAAAGUUUCACGCUACGUUUAAAGUCGAUCUGAUCGUCAAAUUUUUUUAUUUGGUAUGUGAACCAAUUCACAUACACGUUUACAAAUCUGCAAAGAUAUUCCAGAAAUUUGUAGGUUUACGAUCCAUUUAUCUCCAAGUCUAUAAAUUGUGUAUAACGAUCGCAGACCUAAAUGUAACAUUCUUUUAAAAAAACAGUUUUUACAAGUACUUUAAAAGUUUUCGAUUCAUUUCCCCAAUGAAUUUCCUUUUCUUACAUUUUAUGAAGGCUCAAGUUACUAUUGUAACAUGGAAAAACAAAAGUUCGCACAUUUUUACAAUUAACAAAAAUCUAUUCGAUUAAAUUGUGUUAUUUACCUUUGUAAAAUUAUGGGACUCGCUGGUACAAAGAGAUGCGUGUCACAACGUUAGAAAAUUUAGGGUAGAUUUGUAACUUUUUUUCUUGUCAAGUAACCUGUGCAAAUUAUUUGCAGUUGUAAGUAUGUUGGUCUUACCAACAUAACAUGUAUACAACAAUUGGGUAAUAAUCUCGUAAAACCCCGUUUUAAAAAUUGCACCAAAAAUAUACUAUCAUUUAGUUGCAAUGUUUCUCAACUUGUAAAAAGAGCAAUUCUUAAAACUAGAACCGUCGUGUGUAUAAUUAUUAGGUCUCUGAUAGUAGAUUUUCUGUGGAAUUAUCAGGGUUGGGCAAAAUACAUGGGUUGCAAAAUACA